rnacentral:lncRNA from 1 species
UGCCUCCCAAGUGCUGGGAUUAAAGGUGUGUGUCACCACGCCAGAGGGAAAAGAGUUUUUGAAUAAAGUAUUAUCAUAUGUUGUUCCUAUCCUGUAAGUGCUCAUGCUGUUUAGGUUGGAAAAUGUGUGUGUGUGUGUGUGUGUGUGUGUGGUGCUUAUAUUCUUAUGGAUUUUUACAUAAGCUGGUGGAGGCCUGAAAUUGUCUGGUACCUUCUUCAGGACCUGACUUGCUCUUUACCUUACUUUUUGACACAGGUCUCCAGGAACCUGGAGCUCACCGAUCCAACUAGGCUAUCUGGCCCAGCCAGCGAGCUCCAGGGACCUGCCUGUCUCUUCCUCCUCAGUACUGGACCUGCCAGUGUGCGCUGCCAGACUCGGCUCUGUCUGUGGAUGCUGGGGAUCCAAACUCAGCUCCUAUUCUUGUCCAGCAAGCAGUUAUCAGCUAGAUCUUCUCCCCAGCUCCCUAGAACUACCCUAUUCCAAACCUAUAGCUUGGUUUGUGAGGAGAAUAAGAGUCUCCCGUCAAGUACGGAAAAUAAUUUACAGAACCCUCACUAUGGCUCCAGCUUCUGGCUUUCCCAAAUGCUUUAUCAGAUGCUCUCAUGUUGAAAAUUUGGAUUAAACAGUGCAUGCCUUCCAAAUCAAACUUGGGAAAGCAAGCCAGAACACACCCUCCAGGUGAGGCGAAUGUAGGGGAAAGGGCAUCAAGCUCUGGCACUUGCAAAAGCUGUUCCAGAAGCCCUCAGUGGCCGAGCCGUGAAGGAAUGGGUGCCUUUAGUGGAGCACUUCUCUCCUUUGGCCACUCGCUGUUUUAUGAAGGUCUUGGUUAUCCUAGUUUCAAAGGCUGCUCACUCAGUCCCUUCUCUGUAUGACUGUUAUGUUAGUGAAAUAGACACAGUGAGCUAGCGUACUAAACUCUUAUGGGUAGUCUCUUGAAAGAGGAGAUGGGGACAGACCUUGUAUGAAAUGUCUAUAAAAUGACUACUUUUUUUGAAAGAUUGUAAAAGUAAAACCCUGCAGACCAUAAUCGCCUUUGCAGAGAGGGAAACCCAAUUCCAUUUUGCUCCUCGUGUCCCAUACUUUAAGCUAUAAAGAAUUGCAUAUAUUGAUUAGGCUUAAGGAGUUGCUGGAGCCUGAUGAGUGCUCUCGAGGCAGCCUUCCUAUUUACUCUGAAAAACAGGGAUGUAUCCUCACUUGACGGUCAUAGAACGGGGAAAAGGGAAAUCCCAGAGCAUCGCCUACUUGCCAUGAACUGAUGGGAUGUGCAUUGACCCUGAGGAUGCUGAUGGAUAGGAACAGAGGCUUAUGUGUUCCCAUUAUACUUAAAGAAAACCUGAGCCCCACAGAAAUGUGACCACGGGAGCUCUGGAUUCAGCAUGCUUCUCUCCUAUGCUUGAGCGGAGCCUGCCGAUGGCUAUCUGGAACAGGGGCCAGCACUAAUCCAGAAAAGGAGCAGAGGUGAGCCACUGUCUACAGAGGACAACCACUUCUUCACUCUCCAUCCCCACCAAGAGGAAGAGCCUCAUGAAAUUCUCCCACAGUCAUAUCGAGUUUCUUAGGACACCCUGUAACGAAUCCUGAGACUUGCUGCUCUCAAGUGUGGAGGAAACCAUGCAAAGGUUCAGCCAGUCCCAUCUCCAAAUUACCUGUUCACUCUGCCACCAUGUUCCUCUGUGGGAAGGAAGGUGUCAGGCAAGAAAUUAGUUCCAGGACAAAAACCUGUGGGUCAUUCCACCAAGAACAGAUUGUAAAGUCUUGUUUCCCUAGAAAUAUCCCCUGCCUGUUCUUGUUUGUUUGAGAUAUGGUUUUUCAUGGCCACCCAGGCUGGCCCCAAACAUCAAGGCUCUUAGUUAUCCCUCCACCUUUCCCUCCCAAGUAGCUAGAACUAAGUAAGACACCUGACCUUGACCUUGACAUAGUUCU